AGCGAACGCUGGCGGCAGGCCUAACACAUGCAAGUCGAACGGACCCUUCGGGGUUAGUGGCGGACGGGUGAGUAACACGUGGGAACGUGCCUUUAGGUUCGGAAUAGCUCCUGGAAACGGGUGGUAAUGCCGAAUGUGCCCUUCGGGGGAAAGAUUUAUCGCCUUUAGAGCGGCCCGCGUCUGAUUAGCUAGUUGGUGAGGUAACGGCUGACCAAGGCGACGAUCAGUAGCUGGUCUGAGAGGAUGACCAGCCACAUUGGGACUGAGACACGGCCCAAACUCCUACGGGAGGCAGCAGUGGGGAAUCUUGCGCAAUGGGCGAAAGCCUGACGCAGCCAUGCCGCGUGGAUGAUGAAGGUCUUAGGAUUGUAAAAUCCUUUCACCGGUGAAGAUAAUGACUGUAGCCGGAGAAGAAGCCCCGGCUAACUUCGUGCCAGCCGCCGCGGUAACAC
rnacentral:rRNA from 1 species